rnacentral:rRNA from 1 species
UUAAACGCCCAUACCACGUUGAAUACACCGGAGUGCCUAGUGCGCCGAAGUUAAGCGACAUCGGGUGCGGUCAGUACUUGGAUGGAUGACCGCUUGAGAACACCGUUGGUUUUUUUUC